CUGCAAGACUGUCCUCAGCAGUUCCUGUUAACCAGAGCACCCACACACAUGGCCUCACCAGCGUGAAAGUCUCAAGAGAGUGAGAAGUUGCACGGUGCCAGAAUCCAUGGAUAACAUAGGAUGCAUUGGUCAAGGUGUCAUCUUGGAAGUGGGGCUGGGCCAUUACCACAUACUGAAGCUGAUGGCGCCUAAAUCUUGGACUUCCCAGACUCCAGAACUUUCUGAGGCUAUUUGGAUACAAACAGCAUAUCAAAAAGGCUAUGACUACGUGUUGCCCAUAUGUGGAUAGUCUAAUGGAACAGAAGUUUCCGAGAUCUGUACUGCAUUCUUCCACACAUGGACAUCUUGGCUGAUUCUUUUUCAUAUUUUUAACUAGUAGACUUUAUGUUUCAGAGUAGUUUUAGAUUUACAAAAUAAUUGAGCAGAAAGCUAAAUAGUUCCCAUGUACUGUUUCCCCUUUUAUUAACAUGUUGCAUUGGAGUCUAUAUCUAUUAAAAUUAAUGAAUCAAUAUUGAUUAAUUAUUAGUAUCUGAACUCUAUAGUUUACAUUAGGUUUCACCUUUUCUGUUGUGUAAUUCAGUGGGUUUUGAAAAGUGUAUCUUGACACAUGUCCACCAUCACAAAAUUUCACAGAACAUUUUUCCUGCCUUAAGAAAGUCCCUGCCAUUACUCCUUUCCCUCCCCAACAGGUCCUGGCAAUCACUGAUGUUUCCUGUCUCUUUAAUUUGUCUUUUUAGAUUGUAUUAUAAAUGGCACUAUAAAACAUGUAGCCUUUUUAUACUGACUUAUUUUACUUACAAAUAUGCAUCUAAGUUUCCUCCAUGUCUUUCUGUGUCUUGAUAGCUCUU